CGGGUGAGUAACGCGUGGGUAACCUGCCUUAUACAGGGGGAGUAACAGUCAGAAAUGGCUGCUAAUACCGCAUAAGCGCACAGAGCUGCAUGGCUCAGUGUGAAAAACUCCGGUGGUAUAAGAUGGACCCGCGUUGGAUUAGCUGUUGGUGGGGUAACGGCCCACCAAGGCGACGAUCCAUAGCCGGCCUGAGAGGGUGAACGGCACAUUGGGACUGAGACACGGCCCAGACUCCUACGGGAGGCAGCAUG
rnacentral:rRNA from 1 species